rnacentral:lncRNA from 1 species
UGAACUAACAUAUGAUGAUGUUCAAAGAGGUUUGGAGCCUUUGUGCUCUCCGUUUAUCCAGAAAAUAAUAAUUUUAUAGUGGUUAUUCCAUCGAUUUAGGAGGUAUUAUGAAGUUUUACUAACUUAAUUGAUAAAAACCCUUGAACGAUGCUCAUUUUGCAUGAAAAAGAGUUAAGCAUACAUUAAUACAAAUGUAGAAUAUGGUAGAAAUUUCAAAACAACACUAAAGAUUAUAGGCUUCAAUAUAUAAAGUAUUUACCAAAAACUCAAUAUUUUUGUAGGGGUUAGCCCAUUGAUUUUUAGAAAAUUUCAAAAAAUAUGACAAUAUUGUUUUAGUUCCUAGUUGCAUCCUGCACUAACAUAUGAUGAUGUUCAAAGAGGUUUGGAGCUUUUUUCGUCUCCGUUUAUCAAGAAAAUAAUAACUUUAUAGUGGUUAUUCCAUCGAUUUAGGGAGUAUUAUGAAGUUUUACUAAAUUAAUUGAUAAAAACCUUUGAACGAUGCUCAUUUUGCAUGAAAAAGAGUUAAGCAUACAUUAAUACAAAUGUAGAAUUUGGUAGAAAUUUUAAAACAACACUAAAGAUUAUAGGCUUCAGUAUAUAAAGUAUUUACCAAAAACUCAAUAUUUUUGUAGGGGUUAGCCCAUUGAUUUUUAGAAAAUUUUAAAAAAUAUGACAAUAUUGUUUUAAUGUCUAGUUGCAUCCUGCACUAACAUAUGAUGAUGUUCAAAGAGGUUUGAAGCCUUUGUCGUCUCCGUUUAUCAAAAAAAUAAUAAUUUUAUAGUGGUUAUUCCAUCGAAUUAGGAGGUAUUAUGAAGUUUUACUAAAUUAUUUGAUAAAAACUAUUGAACGAUGCUCAUUUACCAUGAAAAAGAGUUUAGCAUACAUUAAUACAAAUGUAGAAUAUGGUAGAAAUUUUAAAACAACACUAAAGAUUAUAGGCUUCAGUAUAUAAAGUAUUUACUAAAAACUCAAUAUUUUUGUAGGGGUUAGUUAGCCCAUAGAUUUUGAGAAAAUUUCAAAAAAUAUGAAAAUAUUAUUUUAAUGGCUAGUUGCAUCCUGAACUAACAUAUGAUGAUGUUCAAAGAGGUUUGGAGCCUUUUUGCUCUCCGUUUAUCAAGAAAAUAAUAAUUUUAUAGUGGUUAUUGCAUCGAUUUAGGAGGUAUUAUGAAGUUUUACUAAAUUAAUUGAUAAAAACCAUUGAACGAUGCUCAUUUUGCAUGAAAAAGAGUUUAGAAUACAUUAAUACAAAUGUAGAAUAUGGUUGAAAUUUUAAAACAACACUAAAGAUUAUAGGCUUCAGUAUAUAAAGUAUUUACCAAAAACUCAAUAUUUUUGUAAGGGUUAGCCCAUAGAUUUUGAGAAAAUUUCAAAAAAUAUGACAAUAUUGUUUUAAUGCCUAGUUGCAUCCUGAACUAACAUAUGAUGAUGUUCAAAGAGGUUUGGAGCCUUUGUGCUCUCCGUUUAUCAAGAAAAUAAUAAUUUUAUAGUGGUUAUUCCAUCGAUUUAGGAGGUAUUAUGAAGUCUUACUAAAUUAAUUGAUAAAAACAUUGAACGAUGCUCAUUUUGCAUAAAAAAUAGUUUAGCGUACAUUAAUACAAAUGUAGAAUAUUGUUGAAAAUUUAAAACAACACUAAAGAUUAUAGGCUUCAGUAUAUAAAGUAUUUUCCAAAAGCUCAAUAUUUUUGUAAGGGUUAGCCCAUAGAUUUUGAGAAUAUUUCAAAAAAAUAUGACAAUAUUGUUUUUAUGCCUAGUUGCAUCCUGCACUAACAAAUGAUGAUUUUCAAAGAGGUUUGGAGCCUUUGUGCUCUCCGUUUAUCAAGAAAAUAAUAAUUUUAUAGUGGUUAUUUCAUCGAUUUAGGUGGUAUUAUGAAGUAUUACUAAAUUAAUUGAUAAAAACAAUUUAACGAUGCUGAUUUACCAUGAAAAAGAGUUAAGCAUACAUUAAUUCAAGUGUAGAAUAUGGUAGAAAUUUUAAAACAACACUAAAGAUUAUAGGCUUCAGUAUACAAAGUAUUUACCAAAAACUCAAUAUUUUUGUAGGGGUUAGCCCAUAGAUUUUAAGAAAAUUUCAAAAAAUAUAUAACAAUAUUGUUUUAAUGCCUAGUUGCAUCCUGCACAAAUAUAUGAUGAUGUUCAAAGAGGUUUGGAGCCUUUGUGCUCUCUGUUUAUCAAGAAAAUAAUAAUUUUAUAUUGGUUAUCCAUCGAUUUAGGGGGUAUUAUGAAGUUUUACUAAAUUAAUUGAUAAAAACAAUUGAAUGAUGCUCAUUUACCAUGAAAAAGAGUUUAGCAUACAUCAAUACAAAUGUCGAAUAUGGUAGAAAUUUUAAAACAACACUAAAGAUUAUAGGCUUUAGUAUACAAAGUAUUUACCAAAAACUCAAUAUUUUUGUAGGGGUUAGCCCAUUGAUUUUAAAAAAUUUCAAAAAAUAUGACAAUAUUGUUUUAAUGGCUAGUUGCAUCCUGAACUAACAUAUGAUGAUGUUCAAAGAGGUUUGGAGCCUUUGUGCUCUCCGUUUAUCAAGAAAAUAAUUAUUUUAUAGUGGUUAUUGCAUAGAUUUAGAAGGUAUUAUGAAGUUUUACUAAAUUAAUUGAUAAAAACCAUUGAACGAUGCUCAUUUACCAUGAAAAAAGAGUUUAGCGUAUAUUAAUACAAAUAUAGAAUAUGGUAGAAAUUUUAAAACAACACUAAAGAUUAUAGGCUUCAGUAUAUAAAGUAUUUACCAAAAACUCAAUAUUUUUGUAGGGGUUAGCCCAUAGAUUUUGAAAAAAAUUCAAAAAAUAUGACAAUAUUGUUUUAAUGCCUAGUUGCAUCCUGCACUAACAUAUGAUGGUGUUCAAAGAGAUUUGGAGCCUUUGUCGUCUCCUUUUAUCAAGGAAAUAAUAAUUUUAUAGUGGUUAUUCCAUCGAUUUAGGGAGUAUUAUGAAGUUUUAUUAAAUUAUUUGAUAAAAACAAUUGAAAGAUGCUCAUUUACCAUGAAAAACAAUUAAGCAUACAUUAAUACAAAUGUAGAAUAUGGUAGAAAUUUUAAAACAACAAUAAAGAUUAUAGGCUUCAGUAUAUAAAGUAUUUACUAAAAACUCAAUAUUUUUGUAGGGUUAGCCCAUAGAUUUUGAGAAAAUUUCAAAAAAUAUGACAAUAUUGUUUUAAUGCCUAGUUGCAUCCUGCACUAACAUAUGAUGAUGUUCAAAAAGGUUUGGAGCCUUUGUCGUCUCCGUUUAUCAUGAAAAUAAUAAUUUUGUAGUGGUUAUUCCAUCGAUUUAGGGAGUAUUAUGAAGUUUUACUAAAUUAAUUGAUAAAAACAAUUCAAUGAUGCUCAUUUACCAUGAAAAAGAGUUAAGCAUACAUUAAUACAAAUGUAGAAUAUGACUAAAUUAAUUGAUAAAAACCAUUGAACGAUGCUCAUUUACCAUGAAAAAGAGUUUAGCAUACAUUAAUACAAAUGUAGAAUAUGGUAUAAAUUUUAAAACAACAAUAAAGAUUAUAGGAUUCAGUAAACAAAGUAUUUACCAAAAACUCUAUAUUUUUGUAGGGGUUACCCAUAGAUUUUGAGAAAAUUUCAAAAAAUAUGAAAAUAUUGUUUUAAUGCCUAGUUGCAUCCUGCACUAACAUAUGAUGAUGUUCAAAGAGGUUUGGAGCCUUUGUCGUCUCCGUUUAUCAAGAAAAUAAUAACUUUAUAGUGGUUAUUCCAUCGAUUUUGGGGGUAUUAUGAAGUUUUACUAAAUUAUUUGAUAAAAACAAUUGAACGAUGCUCAUUUACCAUGAAAAAGAGUUUAGAAUAAUACAUUAAUACAAAUGUAGAAUAUGGUAGAAAUUUCAAAACAACACUAAAGAUUAUAGGCUUCAGUAUACAAAGUAUUUACCAAAAACUCAAUAUUUUUGUAGGGGUUAGCCCAUAGAUUUUGAGAAAAUUUCAAAAAAUAUGACAAUAUUGUUUUAAUGCCUAGUUGCAUCCUGCACUAACAUAUGAUGAUGUUGAAAGAGGUUUGAAGCCUUUGUCGUCUCCGUUUAUCAAUAAAAGAAUAACUUUAUUGUGGUUAUUCCAUCGAUUUAGGGAGUAUUAUGAAGUUUUAUUAAAUUAUUUGAUAAAAACUAUUGAAAGAUGCUCAUUUACCAUGAAAAAGAGCUUAGCAUACAUUAAUACAAAUGUAGAAUAUGGUAGAAAUUUCAAAACAACACUAAAGAUUAUAGGCUUCAGUAUAUAAAGUAUUUACCAAAAACUCAAUAUUUUUGUAGGGGUUAGCCCAUAGAUUUUGAGAAAAUUUCAAAAAAUAUGACAAUAUUGUUUUAAUGCCUAGUUGCAUCCUGCACUAACAUAUGAUGAUGUUCAAAGAGGUUUGGAGCCUUUGUCGUCUCCGUUUAUCAAGAAAAUAAUAACUUUAUAGUGGUUAUUCCAUCGAUUUUGGGGGUAUUAUGAAGUUUUACUAAAUUAUUUGAUAAAAACUAUUGAAAGAUGCUCAUUUACCAUGAAAAAGAGUUUAGCAUACAUUAAUACAAAUGUAGAAUAUGGUAGAAAUUUCAAAACAACACUAAAGAUUAUUGGCUUCAGUAUAUAAAGUAUUUACCAAAAACACAAUAUUUUUGUAGGGGUUAGCCCAUAGAUUUUGAGAAAAUUUCAAAAAAUAUAACAAUAAUAUUUUAAUGCCUAGUUGCAUCCUGCACUAACAUAUGAUGAUGUUCAAAGAGGUUUAGAGCCUUUGUCGUCUCCGUUUAUCAAGAAAAUAAUAAUUUUAUAGUGGUUAUUCCAUCGAUUUUGGGGGUAUUAUGAAGUUUUACUAAAUUAUUUGAUAAAAACUAUUGAACAAGAAAAUAAUAACUUUAUAGUGGUUAUUCCAUCGAUUUUGGGGGUAUUAUGAAGUUUUACUAAAUUAUUUGAUAAAAACUAUUGAACGAUGCUCAUUUACCAUGAAAAAGAGUUUAGCAUACAUUAAUACAAAUGAUGAAUUAAAACAACACUAAAGAUUAUAGGCUUCAGUAUAUAAAGUAUUUACCAAAAACUCAAUAUUUUUGUAGGGGUUAGCCCAUAGAUUUUGAGAAAAUUUCAAAAAAUAUGACAAUAUUGUUUUAAUGCCUAGUUGCAUCCUGCACUAACAUAUGAUGACGUUCAAAGAGGUUUGAAGCUUUUGUCGUCUCCGUUUGUCAAGAAAAUAAUAACUUUAUAGUGGUUAUUGCAUCGAUUUAGGGAGUAUUAUGAAGUUUUACUAAAUUAAUUGAUAAAAACAAUUGAACAAUG